GUCUACGGCCAUACCACCCUGAACGCGCCCGAUCUCUUCUGAUCUCGGAAGCUAAGCAGGGUCGGGCCUGGUUAGUACUUGGAUGGGAGAAAACCUAGAUAGAUGGGUU
rnacentral:rRNA from 1 species